AUACUUACCUGGCAGGGGCGAUACCAUGAUCACGAAGGUGGUUCACCCAGGGUGAGGCUCUGCCAUUGCACUUGGGUGGUGCUGACCCUUGCGAAUUCCCCAAAUGCGGGAA
rnacentral:snRNA from 1 species